rnacentral:rRNA from 1 species
GCAAGGAAUUUUGUGCAAUGGGCGAAAGCCUGACACAGCGACGCCGCGUGGGGGAGGAAGGCCUUCGGGUCGUAAACCCCUUUUCUCAGGGAAGAAUAAUGACGGUACCUGAGGAAUAAGUCUCGGCUAACUACGUGCCAGCAGCCGCGGUAAUACGUAGGAGGCGAGCGUUAUCCGGAUUCACUGGGCGUAAAGCGGGUGCAGGCGGUUUGGCAAGUCAGGUGUGAAAUCUCUCGGCUUAACUGAGAGAAGCCAUUUGAUACUGCCGGGCUAGAGAACAGCAGAGGAAGAUGGAAUUCCCGGUGUAGUGGUGAAAUGCGUAGAUAUCGGGAGGAACACCAGUGGCGAAAGCGAUCUUCUGGGCUGUUUCUGACGCUGAGACCCAAAAGCGCGGGGAGCAAACAGGAUUAGAAACCCUAGUAGUCC